AAAGACUGGCUGCGGCGGCUCCGCUAGUCAGAAGCCCGGGUUCAGACCCUCCGCCCAGCUUCCUCUCGCGCUCCAGAGAGAAACACAGCCAGAGAGGGAACACGAGCAGGGGGAGUGGGAGAAGGAGAAGCAGGCUUCCUGCGCAACAGAGAGCCCGAUGCGGGGCUCAAUCCCAGGACCCUGGGAUCAUGACCUGAGUCGAAGGUCUGUCAUUUUCAUUAAUAACUGCUGCUUAGAGGUACCAAAGUAAAGGAUAUUUGCUAUAUUUAAUAUUUUCCAGUUCAGGUUCGAGGCCCAGGUUGAGCAGCAAGAAUGGAUUUAGAAGAACACGCGAUGGUUUUAGAGAGAAUGUCACAGCUGAUUUUGAGUGCAGUGCCAAAAGCUGAAUAUUCCAGUUUAUUCAAUGAUUUUGUUGAAUCUGAAUUUUUUCUGAUUGAUGGAGAUUCAUUACUUGCUACAUGCAUAUGUGAGAAAUCAUUAAAGCCAGGGCAGCAGCUCCACUUCUUCUAUCUGGUUGAAUGCUAUCUUACGGAUCUUAUCAGUAAAGGAGGACAAUUUGCCAUAGUUUUCUUCAAGGAUGCUGAGUAUGCAUAUUUCAACUUCCCUGAACUUCUUCCUUUGAGAACUGCUUUAAUUCUUCAUCUUCAGCAUAAUACCAGCAUUGAUGUUCGAACAAAAUUUUCUGGAUGCCUGUCACAGGAGUGGGAGAUUUUCUUGGAAGACAGUUACCCAUAUUACCUGAUAGUUGCCGAUGAAGGCCUGAACCAUCUACAAACAUACCUUUUCAACUUUUUAAUUACUCAGUCUUGGGCAAUGAAGGUCAACAUUGUGCUUUCCUCAGGGCAAACAUCUGAUAUUCUUCGACUUUAUGCAUACCUUAUGCCAAGCAUGUAUAAAAACCAACAAUUUUUCAAAGAGAAUAAAAAGAAGAUUGAGAGUGCUUAUAAAACCCUGAUUAAACAAUUGGAAGAAUGUAGAAUUUCAGCACUAGAAUCUCUUUUUGGAAAUUUAAAAUGGAAGAAUAUGAUGGAAGAGGCAUGUGAAACUAUUUCUCAGCUUAAGCAACUCUGGCCAGAAGGAUCUGACAUUCGGCGUGUUCUUUGUGUUACUUCAUGCUCAUUGUCUUUGAGAAUGUACCAUCACUUUUUAGAAAAUAGAAAGAAGACUACCUCUGUUGAGAAAACUAACAUCCAAGAGGGGGAAAGUAAGUGCUUAGCCCUGCAAGAGAUGGAAGAUUUGUGUAAACUGCAUUGUCUCAGUGUGGUUUUCCUACUCCACUUACCUCUUUCUCAAAGAGCCUGCACUAGAUUCAUCACUUCCCACUGGACUAAGAACAUUCACACUUUCUUAGAAAUGGAAAAGUGGUGUGAAUAUUUCAUCCUAAGUAAUAUAAACAUUUGUGAGUUUUGGAAUCUGAAUUUAAUUCACCUUUCGGACUUAAGUGAUGAACUUUUGUUGAAGAAUAUUGCUUUUUACUAUGAAAAUGAAAAUGUUGAAGGCCUACAUUUGAAUUUGGGAGAUGUCAUUAUGAAAGAUUAUGAACAUCUCUGGAAUACUGUGUCAAAGUUGGUCAGAAAGUUUGCUGUUGGAAAGCCAUUUCCUCUGAGAACAACAAAACUUUCUUUUCUUGAAAAGAAUCCAUCACCAAUCAAAGAUACCGCCAAGGAAAACAUUCCUAAUUUGGGAUUUAUUUCAAUGUCAUGUGAAGUGGUUGAUAAGUUUGUUGGUGACCUUUUGACAGAUUUGCCUUUCUUAAAGAGUGAUGAUCCUAUUGUAACUUCACUAGUUAAACAAAAGGAAUUUGAUGAACUUGUGCAUUGGCAUUCUCACAGACCCCUUAGUGAUGAUUAUGACAGGACGAAGUGUCAAUUUGAUGAAAAAUCUAGAGAUCCUCAUUGUCUUAGGUCUGUGCAGAAGUAUCAUGUUUUUCAACGAUUUUAUGGGAAAUCAUUAGAAUCAGUCUCUCCAAAAGUUGUUGUAACUCAAGCUGUCAAGCCAAAGAAUAAGGUCAUUGCACCCAAGAACAAAAAGGCACAUGAGACCAAGGCUGAAAUAAUUACUAGAGAGAAUAAAAAGAGGUUAUUUGCUAAGGAAGAAGAGAAAGAGGAGAAAAAAUGGAGUGUUCUGUCAUUUUCUAUUGAGGAGGAAAUGAAAGAAAACUUAAACUCUGGAAUAAAGAACCUGGAAGAGUUUUUGAAAUCAUGUAAAAGUAACUCAGUGAAAUUUCGAGUUGAAAUGGUAGCCUUAACUGCCUGCUUGAAAGCAUGGAAAGAACAUUGCAGAGGUGAAACCACAAAAGAUUUAAAUAUAGCUGUUCAAAUGAUGAAAAGGAUCCACUCCUUGAUGGAAAAAUACCCAGAACUUUUGCAGGAGGCAGAUCAGCAACUUAUAGCCAGAUGCCUGAAGUAUUUAGGAUUUGAUGAAUUGGCAAGUUCUUUAUAUCCAACCCAGGUUGCAAGAGAUGACAUGAAGAAAACAGAUAAAUACUCAAUUGGCAUUGGGCCAGUUCGGUUUCAACUACAAUACAUGGGCCAUUAUUUGAUACGAGAUGAGAGAAAAGAUCCAGAUCCCAGGGUUCAGGAUUUUAUUCCUGACACAUGGCAGCGAGAGCUCCUUGAUGUUGUGGAUAAUAAUGAGUCAGCAGUGAUUGUCGCCCCAACGUCCUCAGGCAAAACCUAUGCUUCCUACUAUUGCAUGGAGAAGGUGCUGAAGGAGAGCAGUGAAGGGGUGGUUGUGUAUGUUGCACCAACAAAGGCCCUUGUUAAUCAAGUGGCAGCAACUGUUCAGAACCGUUUUACCAAAAGUCUGCCAAAUGGUGAAGCUCUAUGUGGUGUUUUUACAAGGGACUAUCGUCACGAUGCCCUAAACUGUCAGGUACUUAUUACAGUGCCUGCCUGCUUUGAAAUUCUGCUAUUAGCUCCUCAUCGCCAAACAUGGGUGAAAAGGAUCAGAUAUGUUAUAUUUGAUGAGGUCCAUUGUCUUGGUGGAGAAAUUGGAGCAGAAGUCUGGGAGCAUCUCCUUGUCAUGAUCCGAUGUCCCUUUUUGGCUCUUUCAGCAACCAUAAGUAACCCUCAGCAUCUCACUGAGUGGCUACAAUCAGUAAAACACUACUGGAAACAAGAAGACCAUACAAUGGGAAAAAAUAUUGCUUUUAAAAGAGAUGCUGGCCGUUGUGCCACUUCUCCCAAAGAUUACUUCCGAAUAAAGGAAUCGUAUAAAGUUAGACUUGUGCUCUAUGGAGAGAGAUACAAUGAUUUAGAGAAGCAUAUAUGUUCGAUAAAACAUAAUGACAUCUAUUUUGAUCAUUUUCACCCAUGUGCCGCACUAACAACAGAUCAUAUUGAAAAGUAUGGAUUUCCUUCUGAUCUUACCCUUUCCCCUCGAGAAACCAUCCAGCUUUAUGAUACCAUGUUUCAGAUCUGGGAAAGAUGGCCCAGGGCCCAGGAGUUCGAUCCAGAGAAAUUCAUUCAUUUUAAGAAUAAAAUAGUCAUUAAAAAGUUGGAUGCUAGAAAAUAUGAAGAGAGCUUAAAGGCAGAACUAACAAGUUGGAUCAAAAAUGGCCAUGCCGAGGAGGCCAAAGUGGUUCUGAGGAAUCUUAGUCCUGAUUCAGUUUUUAGUUCAGAAAACAUGAAAAGAAUGUUUCCACUUCUCGUUGAAAAGCUAAGGAAAAUGGAAAAGUUACCGGCAUUAUUUUUUUUAUUCAACUUAAGAGAUGUAGAACAAACAGCUAUAUGUGUGAGAAGUUUCCUGGAGCAAAAGCAAAAGAGACAAAGACCUCCUAAAGCUGAUAAAGAAGCCUAUGACAUGACUAACAAACUUCGAAAAGUUAAAAAAUCCAUUGAGAAACAAAAGACAAUAGAUGAAAAAAGCCAGAAAAAUCCCAGAAAAAUGGAUCAAAUCCUAAUACAUGAAGCUGAACAUAAUAAUCUACUCAAGACUUUAGAGAAGAACCUGGAAAUCCCUCAGGAGUGCACAUAUGCUAAUCAAAAAGCUAUAGACACUGAGACUUUGCAGAUGGUGUUUGAUCGAGUAAAAUUCACAAGAAAGGGUGCAGAACUGAAGGCUUUGGCAAGAAGGGGUAUUGGAUAUCAUCACAGCUCUUUAAACUUCAAAGAAAAGCAGUUAGUUGAGAUUCUUUUUAGGAAAGGUUUUAUUAGGGUGGUGACAGCUACUGGGACACUUGCUUUAGGAAUCAACAUGCCUUGUAAAUCUGUGGUUUUUGCUCAAAACUCAAUCUAUCUGGAUGCUUUAAAUUACAGACAGAUGUCUGGACGUGCUGGAAGACGAGGUCAAGACCUGCUGGGAGAUGUAUAUUUCUUUGAUAUUCCAUUGCCCAAAAUAGAAAAACUCAUUAAAUCCAAUGUUCCUGAACUGAGAGGACAAUUCCCUCUCGGCAUUACCCUGGUCCUGCGACUCAUGCUGCUGGCUUCCAAAGGAGAUGACCCAGAGGAUGCUAAAGCGAAGGUGCUGUCAGUGCUAAAGCAUUCAUUGCUGUCCUUCAAAAAACCCAGAGUCAUGAAGAUAUUAAAACUUUAUUUCUUGUUUUCUUUGCAAUUCCUUGUGAAACAGGGCUAUUUAGAUCAAGAAGGUAAACCAAUGGGGUUUGCUGGACUUGUAUCACAUUUGCAUUAUCAUGAGCCUUCUAAUCUUGUUUUUGUCAGUUUUCUUGUAAAAGGCCUUUUCCAUAAUCUCUGUCAGCCAACUAGGGAAGGCUCAAAACAUUUUUCUCAAGAUGUUAUGGAAAAGCUGUUGUUAGUCUUGGCAAAUCUGUUUGGAAGAAGACCUCUUCCAGCAAAGUUCCAGGAGACUACUGUCAAGUUUUAUCAAUCAAAGGUGUUCCUUGACGAUCUCCCUAAGGAUUUUAAUGAUGCUUUACGUGAGUAUAACAUGGACGUUACAAAGGACUUUGCCUCCUUCCUACUAAAUGUUGCCAAAUUGGCUGAUAUGAAACAGGAAUAUCAACUCCCAUUGUCAAAAAUAAAUUUCACAGGAAAAGAAUGUGAGGGCUCUGAACUGGUUUCUCAUUUGAUGAACUGCAAAGAAGGAAGAGCAGCUAUUUCUCCAUUUGUUUGUCUCUCCGGAAACUCUGAUGGUGAUUUGCUUCUACCAAAUACUCCGAACCAUGUCGUUCUACGCACAAUUGGUAUCAAUCACACUCAGGCUCCUGUGCUGUGGUCAGAGAUCUUGGAUGACCAAGGAAGAAGAAUGCCACUUAAUGCUUAUGCACUUGAUUUCUAUAAACAUGGUUCCUUGACAGGACUAGUCCAGGACAACAGAGAGAGAGAGAGAGCGUGUACAAGCAGGGAGAGCAGAGGGAGAGGGAGAAGCAGACUCUCUGCUGAGCAGGGAGCCCAAUGCAGUCUCCAUCCCAGGACUCUGGGAUCAUGACCUGAGCUGAAGGCAGAUGCUUAACUGACUGAGCCACCCAGGACACAGAAAAUAUGUAUUUUAAUUACUUGAACUUCUGGCACUUUGUAUUACAUUGAUUCAACAUUUAGGACACAAUGUGAUGUCACUAUCAUACAGAAUUUUGCAAUUGCCUGUCAACAGAAUGGGAGAAUGAAAAACAUUUACGGCAUGCCUUGCCUGCCUACAUAAUUGAUUACCAGAAGUCACAGGAAACAGAAAUAUGGUUAUUUGAAACUAAACUUGGGAGACAUGCAGAAAGGUGCAUCAAACCUUGUCCUUGCUUCAGAAUCUGUGGCUGGAAGGAGCUGACAGCUGAAGUGUCCUUUGCUCUGUUUCAGGCUCUGUGAUACUAAAACUCUGUAAAAAAAGUUACAUGAUGCACAAGACUGUGAAAGCCUAAAUACAUGCACCAAAAAUCAUAACACACAGGACUCGAGGAAUCACCAACACUAAAUAAAGCAGCAGAUCUUUGCAGAAUGAACUGCCUUAGUGAGAUUUUCCUUCAAUACUUACCUCUGUUUCAAAGAGCUAAGAAUAAAAUUAUUACUUCUAUUUGGGACAGAACACUUAUACCAUUUCUAAAAAUGAAGGCAAAUGCAGAAGGACUUAUUGAAGAAAAUCAAAGGAGACAGCUAAACUAGAGAAAAGAGAAGAAGAAAGAUGGAAUAAUUUGUCCCUGUAUAUUGAAAAGGAAAUUAAAGAAAAUCACAGUUCUGGAAUAAAAAGACUAGAAGAUUUUCUCCAAACAUGCUUUGUUAAAGCUACAAAAUUUACUGCAGAAAUAGUAGGAUUAGAUGCCUGCUUCAAAUUAUGGAUAGAAUACUGUUCAAAACCAGGUCUUGGUGGAUGGAUUCAGUUUGAAUUUCAAUUCAGGAAACAGUUCUUCAAGAUCAAUCAUGAGCUAAGUAUCUUGUUAAGUACCCACGGGGCUUCUGAAGAGAAUAGCACUUGCUGUGCUCUGAAGGUGGUUAAUAAUCAGUAUCUCAAGGGACUCAGGCACAUGCUGAGCUAACUGCAACAAAAUGCAGUAACCACAACCAUAUAUAUAUAUAUUUAUAUAAUUUUUACACAUUUAUGGAAUCAUCAUAAUAAUUUAUAUGUAAAUUAUAAAGAGUUUUAGUCAAUAUGAUUUAUUUUUAUAAAUUAUCAUUUAUUAUAAUAUAAAAUAAUAUAUAUUAUAUUAAUAUAUUAUAUAUGUAUAAAUUCUUAUUUAUUUCUCACAAUUCUUUGAGGUAGGUUCCAAUACCCUGAUAUUACAUGUAAGAAAUCAAGUUUCCAGGAAAACAAAUUAUACCCAAAUGUCAGUGGAAGAGCAAGGAUUUUAAUAUAAUACUCUUUAUCCAAGGAAUAUGCACAAAUUAAAUAAUCGGCAAAUUGGGGCACAACCAUGUUGUGAAUUAGGGCCAGAAAAUGAACAUUUUUGAUUGGAGGGAAGAUGAAAGACAUUUAUCUCUUAAUUAUGGUCACGGGAAAGUAAAUAUUAAAAGCGUAAAACAUGGAAAGACCCUCUUCUUAAAAAAUGUCAGUGCAGCCCAUACUCUAUAUUAAUCCUUAUAAUUAAUAAUAACUCCUGCCAUUAUGGUAUCAUUUUAUGUGGAUUAAUUUGCUUAAAUCGUAUAAUAGCCACAUGAGGUGAGACUUAUUAGUAUCCUCAUUAUACAUAUAAAGAAAAUAGGGUUGGAGAUGUAACUUUCCAACUUCCUAAAUCAAGCACAGGCAAGUUAAAUUUGAAGUUCAGAUAAACAAUUAAUUUUUAAAAUAUAAGUUUGUGUCAUGCAAUAAUAUUUAUCCCAAACUGGGUCUUCUAUAUUUUUAUUUGCAAAAGCGGGUAUUACUCCUUUAACUUAAGAGCCCACCUUAACUGCUACUGUUCUAAGCAUUAAGUGAAAUGAUGUAUGUAAAGCAUCUAAUAUAUUGUCUGGAUGUAAACAAUGAUCAAUAAUUGGUACUGUCCACACUUGAUUUUUAUUCAUUUUAUUGCUUAAAACUCUCUAGGUCCAGCAGUUAUUAAGACAAGAUUUGACACUUUUGAGUGGCUCAGUUGGUUAAGUGUCUGCCUUCAGCUCAGGACAUGAUCUCAGGGUCCUGGGAUGGUGCCUGCUCAACUGGGAGCCUGCUUCUCCCUCUCCCCCGUCCCUGCUCAUGCUCUCUCUCGCUAUCUCUUUCUCAAAUAAAUAAAAUAUUAAAAAAAAAAAAAAACAGAGAGAGAGAGAGCAUGGACAAGUUCACGAGAGAGAGGGAGGGAGAGGGAGAGGCAGCUAUUCUCAAUUGUGCUGUGGUCGGAUAAAUGCUCCGUGGAAUAGCCACUGAUGACUGCAGGCUUCUUCCUUCCCCGCAACUGUAUAAAGCAGUCAAGAAGCUCUUGGCUAAAUCAGAACUUUUCUCUUCACCCAGAAGGGACUCAGGGUGUUCCUUCCUCUCUCUUUCCCUAGGAGAAACCUUAAUUGCAAGCCUUAAAGUUGCACUGAGAGAAGAGAUUCAGAAUGUUUAUGUUGCGAAGGAUCAUCUGUAUUGUAUGACCCAGUCCUCUCACUUUAGAGAUGGGGAAACUGAGGUUUGGUGAAAUUAAGUAAUGCAUCUAUCAUUGGAUAGCUAACUCAAUUUUUUAAUAAAAAAUCAUCUGAUUUCACCUGUACAGAUGUAGAUCACAUUUAUGUGGCAUAGAUUGUUGUUUAUAGUUUCUAGCUGUCACAUCAAUAAACAUUGUGUGAUAUAUUAUACAUUAGGAAAAACUUUAAAAUGGACCAGUGGGAACCAUUUAGAUAUAAAGUACAGUUGACUCUUGAACCCAGGGUUGGGGCACUGUCACAGUCAAAAAUCUGAAUAUAAAUUUUGACUCCCCCAAACCUUAACUGCUAAUAGCCUACCAUUGACCGGAAGCCUUCCUGAUAACAUAAACAAUUCAUUAACAUAUUUUGUAUGUUAAAUUUACUAAAAAAUGUAUUCUCAUAAUAAAGUAAGCUGGAGAAAAAAUGUUAUUAAGAAAAUCAUAAGGAAGAGAUAAUACAUUCACAGUAUUGUACUUUAUUUAUUGAAAAAAAUCUGCAUAGAAGUGAACCUGCACAGUUCAAACCUAUGUUGUUCAAAGGUCACCUGUAAUUCUUUUAUUAAGAAAGAGUUAUAUAAAAUUGGUACUGCACUUUUUUGCACGUAAAUUGUUCCAGACAUUGGUUUACUUUAAAUAAUUUUUUGCAGUCUAGUCAAUAAUUACUGAAUAGCAGAUUAUGUCUUUUACGAUUUAAGGUUCUUGUUAGUCAAAUGGUAGGAACUCUCCGCAAUUUAUUCACCAAAGCACUGCCAAAAGGACUAGUGAUGUGUAGAGUUUUUACAAGAGAUUACUGUCAUGACACCUUGAAUGAUCAGGUACUUCGAAGAUCUACACAUGUAAUGGAUAUUAACACAUAUUAUGGCACUCCAUUAUGCAGUUGAAGGUUUUAAUGUGAGGAUAAAUUAAAUUCACAAUUACCUUGACAAAUACAUUUGAAUGGAUUAUUUAUGUGAUUUUUCUUAUUUAAUAGUUUGGUCAAUGUUCAAAGAAUUAUAUUUUCUAUACAAAGUAGAAUGCUUUCCUUAUCUGACAUUUUAACAUGAGUAAGUAGCUUCCUUUAGUGGUGAUGGUUUCAAACUGUAAUGAUUUCAUAUUCCCAAUGUAUUAUGUGAGAGAGUGUUUUUUAAUGAAAUAAGCUUAAGUCCUUUUGAAUGCAUCAACCACAACAUACAUCUGUUACACAAAUUCAUUUCAUUUUUCCCCAAAUGAGAUUGUUGUUUUAAUGGAAAUGUCAAUGUGCACACACUGUGCCAUCUAAAAUAUGUUAUUAAGGUUUUUUUUCUCUUUUUAUUUUUAUUUGCAUUUAUUCUGCAGAAUAAAUUUUUGUUUUUGUUUUUGUUUCUUCAGUUUCUUCUGGGAUAUCUUUUUCUUCUGUGCAACCUCUUCUUCUGGUUUAGGAACAAUCUGCUCUUUUUCAGUAAGGAUCAUCUCAAUGUGGCAGGGAGAGCUCAUGUAUUGGUUAAUCUGACCAUGAGCCCUGUUUACUGUCUGGGGGCAGAAAUUGGAGCAGAAGUUUGGAAACAUCUUGUUAUGAUUUGGUGUCCCUUCCUGCACUUUCUGCUAGCAUGGUUGGUGUUAACUAAAAGAUACUGGCAACGUCUUGGGAGCACAAUGGAAAAUUCUGGCUCAUCACAAAAAAGCUAAAAGAAACAACAAUGAAAAAGAAUAGAAAAGCCAUUGUACAGAGUUAGACUAGUUUUUAAAAUUAGUUUCAACUGCUUGAGUUCAAAGAAUAAUUUUGUGGCUGGCUGAAAUAAAAAAAAAUGAAGAAAAACCUUAAGAAGCAUUAUGAAAUUUCUCUGGCCUGUACUUAUACUGACUGCAGUUGUGGAUAAUCAGACUUUAAGGAAGAUCUUACACAGACUGAGAGGAACAAGACAAUGCUAUAAACUACAUUGUCUGUUACAGUGGGGCAUUGGAUAUCAUCACAGAUCAAUGGAGUAGAAACAAAAAUUGUAGAGAUGCUUUUCAGACUGAGGCACAUCAAGAGAGCAGAGAGAGAGAGCACAAGCAGGUGGAGUGGGAGAGGAGAAGCAGGCUUCCCACAGAGCAGGGAGCCCAAUGCGGGACUCAUCUCAGGACCCUGGGAUCAUGACCUGAGCCGAAGAUGUCUGGUCGUGCAGGAAGAUGUGGAAAAGAUCUUUUAGGAAAUGGGUUCUUCUAUGAUAUUCCAUUACCUAUGACAGGCACUUAAAGUCUAAUGUGUCCAUCCAUACAGAAGGGUCAAUUUCCUCUAAGAAUAUCUUUGGUUCUCUGACUUAUUAGUUGCUAAAGCAAACGACAAAGAGGAUGCCAAAGCAAAGACAUUAUCAGUUCUCCAACAGUCAUUGAUAUUCUCCAAGCAACUGAAGAUCAAGUGCAUGGUAAUUCUAGAUGAUCUUCUCAAGGACUUUGCUACAGUGGUUGAGAAACACAAUGACAAAAUUCAAAAGAAUUUUGGUUUCUCCCUCUUAAUGAUUUCUAAGUUGGAUGACAUGAAAAAAGCAUACCAACUACCUCUGUCAAAAAUUGGUAAGAUUGUGGAAUGUACAUGAACAUAACGCAAAGUCAAUAAAAGAAAAUGAAUGUAAAUAUUUUGAGAUAAAGCUAAACUUUAGAAAAUGAGGACAAAAUUAUUGCAAAUAAAAUAUACCAGAAACAAUCUUUCAGAUCUAUGCUCUAGAAUUUUAUACCAGAAAGGUCUCAUAUUAUUUGGGAUUAGUUAAACCACCCUGGAUUUGACUUGACACUAAAUGUGUAAAAUAUGUCUAUAUUUUUCUAGUGUCAUUAUAAACUAACAGACCAUUGCAUGGGCUAAAUUUAUUCUAGAAUAUCUCCUCUCCUAUUGAUGCUGUUUGCCUUUUAGUAGAUACUGGCAUUCUUAACUAGUUAAACUUUCAAAUCUGGAUAAUGUUGAAAAUAUACGAAAAGAAAUUUUGGCAUAUUUAUUAAGGGUCAUAAGUGUCUUAUAUUUCCUUGAGUACUAUGGGGGGCAGCAAAGAAGGUGUUUCCCAUGUCUUUGAGGAAAGGAUAGAAUAAAAGAAAAAGAAAAUAACAAAAAUAUAGGGAAAAUUCUGUAAUGUAUGCCAGGUAGAGUAAAGGCGUUAGAAGUAGAGGAUAUACUUAGCACCCCAAGAUGAAAAGGAGAGAAGGAGAGGGCACUCAGAGGAAAAUGAAAGGUGGCAGAAUUUCCCUUCCUUCAUUUCCAUAAGCAAGGAGAAAAAAAUGGAGCAGUAAGGGUUGCUUUGGUUUAUUCGUAUUUCUGGAUAGACUAUUAGGUUGGAAUGUAGAGGCUUGUGAAGGACAAGAGAAAAUGGUCAGUUUAUUCAAUCAUGGAAUAAGAAGUUAACUAAUCAACUUCACAGAAAAGAACUUAAGUGUUUCAGGGCAAUUACCUGCAUUUGGGACUUAGAGGGGUGAGUACAUUUAUUUUUCCUCUCUGUUUUCCUCUGGGAUGAUUUCUGUGGUAGGCGAAAUAAUGCCCCUCCCCUAAAAAAAAAAAAAAAAUGCCUGGAUGCUAAUCUUGGGAACCUGUGAAUAUGUUAUGUAGCCAAGGUGUUACAGAACCUGGACUGGAUCGCCCGAUGGAAGAACCAAGCGGCAUUCAGAGAUCUUGGAGGAUAGGAGGUUUAUUUAAUGCCAGUGGGCUCAGAGGAGAGUGAUCUCCAAAGGUCUGAGACCCAAGCACAAACAAAGGGGGUAAUUUAUACACUUCUACUUCCACACACUGGGCAAUCUUGGUGCGUGCGCAAAGCAGGGCGGGGAGAGGAACCUGGAUUGGCGCGUGUGGGAAGCAGAGCGGAGAGAGAAGAACCCAGAAGAGCCCUGGGGCAGGGGCUGGGACUCCCUUGUUGGCUCGGUUGGCCAUCUUAGGACACAGAUUUUUCCUUAUUAUUCCCCCCGCUUUGAUGCCCCUUUAAACACCUAGUUUAGAGGGCAUCAUUUUCAUUCUCUAAGGGGCGAUAGUGAGUAAGGAGCAAAUGUAGUCUGAUCUUAGCAAUUUGAGCAGUGAUAAACCUAGUAAGGGCUCACAAGGACCAAAUGCUGCUGUGAGGAGGAGCAUUAGGAGGGGGCCGAUGAGGGGGGCAAACCAAGGGAACCAUUGUGAGAGGGAAUCCUACCAAGUCGUCUGCUGGAGUGCUUCCCACCAGUGAUUCACUCAUUCCUGUAAUUGGUUCAGAGUUUCUUGGACCACCCCCAACUCAUUAGCAUAGAAACAACAUUUCUCCUGUAAGAAGAGGCAGAGUCCCCCUUGCAUGGUCAUGAGCAAGUUGAGCCCAUGCCUGUUUUGGAGGACCACUGAGGCCAGUGAAUCGAGUUGGCACUGCAGGGCCAGGGCUGAUUGAAUGAGGGUGGAAAAAUCUGCCAUGAGUUGUUGAGUUAGCCCCUGGUACUGAACUUGAGGCAUCCCAAUGCUGGUGGUGCUGAGGGCAACACCUGACGUGGCCAGCACGCUCACAAUAAGAGGGAUGGCUGCGGGGGAACGCAGCUAGGAGGUCUCCAUAUAAGUGGGGCAUCGCUCCCGGGGAGGACUGAAAGAUCAGGUAAGAGACUGACAAGUGUGCAUGAUUGAUCGCGUGGGGUGAUGCAAAUAUAUACACCUUGAUCACAAGACAGAAAAUUGUUGUUAGGCACACAGACCCGACUGUGACCUAUGACAGGAGAGGAAGGUUUCCGUACAGUGGUACCAGAACCAGAAAGGGAUAAUCUGAGGUCUCCGGUGCCAAGGUGGGAGGUGACAUGGUGGACUGGUUGAGGAUGACACUUAGGUAUUGGACGGGACUGGGUUUCAUACAGAUCCAGCAGUCAGAUGCUGGGGGUGGUUUUGAGUGGUUAAGUGCUUGGUGGGAGGUGUUAAUCAUACCUAACAGUUGCAGUAUAGAUGCUUGCUGUGUGUGGAUGGGGGACCCAGGCAUAUGACAGGGUGAGUUAUUUUCUGUCUGACUCUGAGGGUUGACUGCAAGGCUUGGGGUGAACAUGGACUUAAUCAUAAACUUGGUCAUGGGGUCGGUCCCUAUAGAGUGAUAUUGGCCCAACAGGAGAGUGAUUCUUGUGGCCCAUGAUGUGGCACUGGGUUCUAGGACUGAGAAAGUGAGUGGUAUACAGUGAUUGUUAGGGCAAGAAGAUGUUGUGUGACAAGGAAAUCUGGAUGUCACUGUGCUGUAUGAGGAUCCACCACCCCUUGGACCAUUGUUCCAUUCCCGGCCAAGUUGCCACCCAGGACUUGCAUCCCCAGGCUUGUGGGCAGAACUGGGGGCAGGUGUUUGGCUGUUGCAUAGGGCCCCCACAGAUGUAGAUAUCUACCAGCCAGUAACCUCUGUGAGGGCCAUGGUAGCAACAGAGUCUAUGAGGUUCCCAGGCGGUAUCAAGAAGCUGGCAUCCAUCAAAAUGGAGGUCAAACUUUGGUGUGUGCCCAUCCCAGUUGGAAGAAGUCAGUGGGGGUGCUGGUGCGGGGUUGAGGGGGAUAAGCUGGAGAGUCCCUUUGCUAGUAAUGGUGAUACGAGAGUUUGCCCCCCUUGCCAGGCCGGGCAAACUAGAGGCAGUGAGGAGGAACAGCACACCAGGUAGCAGAAGACCAGGACUGACUGGGGCCAGGAAGACCAUGGUGAAAUGUGCUCAAGGGUAGACCACAGAGGGCCAGUAAAAGUGGGGUCUACAACCUUAGGUAGAGGGAGCCAUCGUGCCUAACCUGGCAGCAGAUGAAACCUGGACAAGUGAGUGCAGUAAUACACCCUAGGGUCACCCAAUAAGCAAUGACAAUAGUAAGCCUCUGGGGGAAAGUCCAUCAGGAGGGGCAACAGUGUAGAGUUUGACUCCCAAGAUGAAGGAAAUCACACCGAUGAGAGCCAGGGACCAUGGUGAGCCGGUGUCCAUCAGUCGGUGGGGUCUCAUUGAAGGUGAGGUCCUCCUCUCGGGGUUCUUCAUUGUAGUGGCUGGGCUUCUGAGCCUUUCCCCGGUUGGGACAUUCAUUUUUCCAGUGACCUUUCACCUUACAGUAGGCACAUUGAUCCCUUGCCAAGGGGGUCCUGGGUCUCCCCCCUUUUGGUGGUCGGGGUCUCCCCACCUUUGUGUUGUCCUUUUCUUUCAGGGUGGCGGCGAGGAGGCUGACUUUCUUUUUCAUCUUUUUGUUGGCUUCCCGUUCGGCUGUGACCUCCUUGUUCAUGUAGACCUUAUUGGCAGUCUCUAUUAGCUGGGUGAUAUUCAUCCUGGCGAAACCCUCUAGUUUCUGAAGUUUUUUUCUGAUGUCUGGGUGGCCUGAGCCACGAAGCAGGUGUUUACCAUCUGUUGGCUUUCCUGUGCCUUGGGGUCAAAUGGAGUGUAUAUCCUGUAGGCUUCACGUAGUCUUUCGUAGUAGUCCCUGGGGGACUUCCCUGGUUGUUGAGUGACUGAGGAUACCUUAGUCAUGUUCAUGGGUUUCUUAGCUCCUGCCCGGAUUCCCCAGAGGAGGGCCUUCCUGUGCCGGUGGAUGUGGGCUUAUCCCUCGGUUGUGGUGAAGUCCCAUGCUGGGUGCUCUUUGGGUGAGGCCGUAUUAGCCCAGGCAGCAGGGUCAAUUACUCCCACUGGUCUUCCUGGUACUGCCGUGCACCUUUUAUUAUUCUCCUCCUUUCCUCUGUGUUAAAUAGGGUGCAGAGUAACUGUUGACAGUCUUCCCAGGUUGGCCUCUGGGUCUGGGGGUGGUGGGGAUCCUCGGCCUGGGGGCACCAGUGGAUCCUCUGGGCCUGGGGGCGCAGGUGAGACUGAAGGCUGCAGAGUGUCUGGAACUGAAGGGCCAGGUGUAGAUGGUCUUGGAGGUAUGUAUGGUGGGGGUGGGAUCGGUUCCCACUUGGGAUCUCCGGCUAGGAUUUGUGGAGACUGGGGCUUUUGCUGAUUUUCUUUAGGUCACUUGGAUGAGGUGAUUAAGACCCUGGCCUGUCCCUGCCUAUUGCAAGCGAAUCGCACCCAGGGGGGGAAGGUCUAGGCAAUUCCUAGCCAGGAGUCAAUGUACAAAAACUGGUCAGGGUGUCCUGGUUCUUCUGUUAAGACUCACCAUACUCGACAAAUCAUUGGGACAUCCAGUGUCCCUUCUGAAGGCCAUGCGACAUCAAAGGUGGGCCAUUCCAAUUCACAUAGGGUUCUCAACUUGCCAGGGUUCAUCCUGACUCCAUAGUCUCCCCAAAAUUCCCAUAGUCUCUAGAACCAUAGGUUUUCUCUGCCCUGACCCCAUGGUGAUGUCCCUGUGUGUGGU